rnacentral:rRNA from 1 species
GAUGAACGCUAGCUACAGGCUUAACACAUGCAAGUCGAGGGGAAACGACGUCGAAAGCUUGCUUUUGAUGGGCGUCGACCGGCGCACGGGUGAGUAACGCGUAUCCAACCUGCCCAUCACUUGGGAAUAACCUUGCGAAAGUAAGACUAAUACCCAAUGAUAUCCCACGAAGGCAUCGGAAUGGGAUUAAAGAUUUAUCGGUGAUGGAUGGGGAUGCGUCUGAUUAGCUUGUUGGCGGGGUAACGGCCCACCAAGGCAACGAUCAGUAGGGGUUCUGAGAGGAAGGUCCCCCACAUUGGAACUGAGACACGGUCCAAACUCCUACGGGAGGCAGCAGUGAGGAAUAUUGGUCAAUGGGCGAGAGCCUGAACCAGCCAAGUAGCGUGCAGGAAGACGGCCCUAUGGGUUGUAAACUGCUUUUAGAAGGGAAUAAAGUGGGUCACGUGUGACUUUUUGCAUGUACCUUAUGAAUAAGGACCGGCUAAUUCCGUG